rnacentral:rRNA from 1 species
CUGGGAGGACCAUCUCCUAAGGCUAAAUACUCUCUAGUGACCGAUAGUGAACCAGUACCGUGAGGGAAAGGUGAAAAGCACCCCGGAAGGGGAGUGAAAUAGAACCUGAAACCGUGUGCUUACAAGUAGUCAGAGCCCGUUAAUGGGUGAUGGCGUGCCUUUUGUAGAAUGAACCGGCGAGUUACGAUUUGAUGCAAGGUUAAGCAGUAAAUGUGGAGCCGUAGCGAAAGCGAGUCUGAAUAGGGCGUUUAGUAUUUGGUCGUAGACCCGAAACCAGGUGAUCUACCCUUGGUCAGGUUGAAGUUCAGGUAACACUGAAUGGAGGACCGAACCGACUUACGUUGAAAAGUGAGCGGAUGAACUGAGGGUAGCGGAGAAAUUCCAAUCGAACCUGGAGAUAGCUGGUUCUCUCCGAAAUAGCUUUAGGGCUAGCCUCAAGUGAUGAUUAUUGGAGGUAGAGCACUGUUUGGACGAGGGGCCCCUCUCGGGUUACCGAAUUCAGACAAACUCCGAAUGCCAAUUAAUUUAACUUGGGAGUCAGAACAUGGGUGAUAAGGUCCGUGUUCGAAAGGGAAACAGCCCAGACCACCAGCUAAGGUCCCAAAAUAUAUGUUAAGUGGAAAAGGAUGUGGCGUUGCCCAGACAACUAGGAUGUUGGCUUAGAAGCAGCCAUCAUUUAAAGAGUGCGUAAUAGCUCACUAGUCGAGUGACACUGCGCCGAAAAUGUACCGGGGCUAAACAUAUUACCGAAGCUGUGGAUUGUCCUUUGGACAAUGGUAGGAGAGCGUUCUAAGGGCGUUGAAGCAUGAUCGUAAG